ensembl:lncRNA
AUGGUUUUAGUUCUCAAAAUGACUGAAACUAUAGUAUCAUUCAUAUCUUCAUCAACUGAACGUCUUCUAGGUGUAAAUGUUCCUAUUUCUGAUUACAUGUCAUUUUGUUUUCAGUUUCAGAAACAGGGGAGGGAUGUGGAGAAGGUGAAACAGAGACUGGCAGAGAUAGCCAAUUACGUGGACAAGUUCUACAGGGCCCUGAACAUCCGGGUGGCCCUGGUGGGUCUGGAGGUGUGGAGUGACACUGAUAAAUGCCCAAUCACCCAGGAUCCCUUCACCACCCUGCACGAGUUCCUAGAUUGGAGGAAAGUCAAACUGUUGCCCCAGAAACCUCACGACAAUGCUCAGCUCAUAAGCGGGGUUUACUUCCAGGGCACCACCAUUGGCAUGGCGCCCAUUAUGAGCAUGUGCACAGCUGAGCAAUCUGGAGGAAUUGUCAUGGAUCACUCUGAGAACCCACUGGGUGCAGCCGUGACUUUGGCACACGAGCUUGGACACAAUUUUGGGAUGAACCACGACACCCCGGAGCGCGGCUGUGGCUGCAGGAUGACAGUUGACCGUGGAGGCUGCAUCAUGACCCCCUCCACAGGGUAUCCAUUCCCAACAGUGUUCAGUACAUGCAGUAAGAAGGACCUUGCUGCCAGUCUGGAGAAAGGCGUGGGCAUGUGUUUGGACAACAUGCCUGAGGUAAAGGUGCUCUACGGUGGCCAGAAGUGCGGCAACGGCUACGUGGAGGAGGGAGAAGAGUGUGACUGCGGGGAGCCAGAGGAAUGUAUGAACCCAUGCUGUAACGCCACCACAUGCACCCUUAAGGGAGACGCUGUGUGCGCCCACGGACAGUGCUGUGAAGACUGCAGGCUGAAACCAGCUGGCACCAUGUGUCGAGAUUCUAGUAACUCAUGUGACCUGCCAGAGUUUUGUACUGGUGCAAACCCUCACUGCCCAGCCAACGUUUAUCUGCAUGAUGGACAUGCCUGCCACAGCGUUGAAGGCUACUGCUACAAUGGCAUCUGCCAAACUCAUGAGCAACAAUGCAUCACCCUGUGGGGACCAGGGGCCAAGCCUGCCCCUGGGAUAUGCUUUGAGCGAGUCAACUCCGCAGGUGAUCCUUAUGGGAACUGUGGGAAGGACUCCAAAGGCUCCUUUGCCAAAUGUGAUGCAAGGGACGCAAAAUGUGGCAAAAUUCAGUGCCAGGGAGGAGCCAACCGGCCAGUGAUCGGAACAAACGCUGUUUCCAUUGAAACCAACAUCCCGCUUCAAGAAGGAGGGCGAAUCCUGUGUCGAGGAACUCAUGUUUAUCUGGGCGAUGACAUGCCUGAUCCUGGGCUGGUUCUGGCUGGUACAAAGUGUGGAGACGGCAUGGUGUGCCUGAAUCGCGAGUGCCAGAAUGUCAGUGUCUUUGGUGUGCAUGAGUUAAAACUACCUUGUUUGCAGGUGUGCAACAACAAGAUGAACUGCCACUGUGAAGCACACUGGGCCCCUCCGUUCUGUGGGAAAGCAGGCUUCGGUGGGAGCAUCGACAGUGGCAAUACAUUAUGCUGUGUACAGUCUGUAGCUCUAAAAGAGAAAGAAAAGGAAUUUUACUGUAACAGUCUUUGCGUUGUCCUGUCAUUCUGUGCUGUAGAUGUGCGUGUGUGUGUAUUAAUGUGCGUGUUGUCAUAUAUGGCAUCAGCCGACAGUGUGGUCAUUACUGUGGCAAUCCUGGUUACCCUGGUCAGCCUUCUGGUAACCACCGUCAUCAUCUUUCUGAAGAGAAAGACUCUGCUGCGCCUCAUCUUCACCAAUAAGAAAAGCACCUUGGAGAAACUCAGGUAA